AUAUAACCGCAUCUUGGGCUCCUUUCGUCGCACCAUCCUCUAUUAUCUGCACUUCUCAUUCUCUCGCGAGUAUAACUCUGGUAAACCUCACCAAAUGCAAGCCAGACCCGUAGACGCCUGCCACCACUUCUUUUUUCAGAAUUCAGACAAAUUCAUAACAAGCAUGAGGUAUAAAAAGACUUGCCGAGCAUACCUUAAAUGGCGUCUUGUUCAGCAUCAUCCAUUAAAGAAAGUUAAUAGCAUGUUGUGUUCUUGAGAUUUAACAUAUCCAUAAAAGUUCGGAUUUAUACCAAGGUUUGGGAACGAGAAGGUAAUACUUGCUUACCAUACACCGCUGUAAGUAUGAUGACCAUGUUGUUCAAGAUCAAAGAUGAUGAUGACAUAAUUGAAUUGUCCCCCCAAUCUAUGUUCUUCGGUGACAUGACAUUUUAAUUAACCAUAGAGAGCAUCUUACACAUAAAAAGUAUGGUCCGGAAAAAGUUGGGCUCCAACAUGUGAAUGAGUCUGGAACAAAGUUCGAUUAUGUAAGCAUAGAGAGAUACACGGUCGAUGAACUUAGAGAGAUAAAAGACGAUGAUCAGAUUAUAGAGUUUUCACCCGAAGCCUUGUUCGGGAUGCUGACUAUGGAGGAAUUGAAAAAUCAUUUGCAUGAGGUUGGUUUGGAAAAUAUGGAUGAGGGCCAAGUAACUGAUUAGCAUGCUAAAAAGUUCGAAUUCACCAAAUUGAAGGAUAGGUUCAAGGUUGAUGAGCUACGAGUCCAUGAAAUCCCAAAAGCCAUUAUCGAGGCCCUAAAAGCCAAUUUCGGCCCCAAUGGGAAGCAGUUUCCCAUGUUUGCCGCAUGCCACAUGGUGACGGAGCUUUUCAACAACAGUCAUCUUUCAGCCAAAUGCAUUCCUGAGGACCCCUAUCACGAUGAGGAUAUCGGUGACGAUAACAACCCUGGGCACGCGGUAGUGAUAAUUGGUCUAUAUACCCGCGUGGACAACCCCCAAAGGCCUGAAGACUAUAGCAUCUUGAUCAGAAAUUCUGAUGGGAAGACCUGGGAAUCGAAAGGGACACGCGGAUUGAUAUGAGUCUUAUUUGUGGUGUUUGUGAGCCCGUGUGUUUCGAAGAUGCGAAGAUCAGGUGAUUUCGUAUGGAUUGGAAAUCGGUAUCACAAUAUCAUGUUAGUUUUGGUAUUCUGUGAUGUUGCACUUAAGUUCUUGUUUCUUGUUAACAGUCUUAACCUUUUGUUAUUGGUAUG